rnacentral:lncRNA from 1 species
GGUUUGUGUGACAUGAAGACUGGUCUACCGAUAAACAACAAUGUUAAUAGGUCCUUUGGGCUGAACAUUUUAAAUUGUCAAAUGUGUGCUGCUUAUUUACCAAUUCGGUUUUCUGUUUUCCUCUUUCUUUUCCCAGCGAGAAAGGACACCCUCUAAUUCUGCCAUUCAGGAACUUAAAGGAAUUUUGGUAAUGGAUACUUUUAAUGAUACCCCUUUUUGUGGUAUUUUUCUUGUUGUUUUGUAUGAAAACUACCAGAAUAAACAGUAAUUGACAUAAUAUGCCGCUACUUUUAUAACAAAUGUUAGAUUUCAGUCGUUAAAAAGUUAUUCGCAAGACCAUACCAGAAUCUUUUUCCCUUUAUGUUCAAACUGUAAAGGACACUUUCAAAAGGCCCUCCCCCCACCUAAAAACUGGAUCUCCGUCAACAAACGCAGAGUCUGAGCUGGAGAGAGUUCUACAGAGACGGCGGGGAGCAUUUGAGACCUCACAGGAAAGUUGUUUGCCGUCAUCACCGUGUCCCUUCCCCAGCAGUGUGCUGGAUGUCGACAGGGUAAGAACAGCCAAGCCCCAGACCAAACAGACGUCCCAGGAGUCCCAGGACAAUGUUCCGUUCUAGGCCCGCUCAGUGGAACCGAGUCCUGGUUUAAAGCGGCCCAGGGCCCUGGAGGCCUCAAGCGGUGCUCAGACUUCGAAUUAAGACCGUUUGGCUCUGCACAUCCAUUCAUCAGUUGACUGCCCCAAUAUACAGACGGGGCUACAAUAUUGUCGGAAGAGGAAGUCACGUUGUAAUUUUAUUUAACAGAAGACUUCACCUAAACAAUGGACGUGCAGACAGAGAGAGCUGUGGACAAGGGGAUUUAGCAUGGACCAAGGACCCGGAAAUGACUAAUUGUGCAGAUUGACAUGUUUUGCUGUAGCUGUCCAUUUUCUCAUGUUGAAGGAAGAUGAGUUUAACUAAGACUUAACGCCGAUAACACCCAAGGAGAUGCGAGUGUCACUGAGCAGCCAACCUUGCUUGAUUAAGUCACUCGACCUAGUGGAAAGACAGGAAGCUAGGGAAAGGGCGAGAGCGAGGACGAUCAUACUUUAGUAAUAAUGGAUGUUAUUGCAGAAAAUGGAGGCACAGGCCAGGAUUCAAACACUAAAAGAUUAACCACUUUAUACUGAUCUUGAUUCAGAAGUGUGAAAUAUUCCUUGAUUCCAACUGAGUUUAACUGUAAAAAUGGCAUCGGAAUGUGUUCGACCACCUGAUUAAUAUAUCAUGCAGAAAAUGAAGCAUGCAUGCAUUAAGAGUAAAAAAAAUAAGAUUUGUUAUGGCAGUUUCCCCCAUUGCAGUACAAUGUCAGUAAUGUGUGUAUGUUAGAACCCCAGCCUCAGUCUCCCUCAACCUUUUUCAUCUGAUUGCACUUGAAAAGUAUGACCGUGUUAGUUGUUAAGUAUUUCUUUCCGAAACUGAUUUGAGAAGUCAAAGACAGUAUGAACGACUGCACCCAGCUGACACUUGUUUUUUCUCCAGAACUGUUGUUUUCAGACAACUGACAGCUAACCAUUGAAACAGUCAGUGACCUAGUCAAUGCCUUUCCCUGCUUCAUCUUCAGCGAUCUGUCGUCUGACAUUGACUGACAAGCAGUAAACAUUCUGUCGAUCAGGGCGACCAUGUAAUUACCUAGCGCCAUGCUGCGCCCGUUUUUUUGCUAGUUUGGUUAGAGCCAUCUUUACUGCUCUCUAUUUCUCAAUCAAUCAAAUAUAUUUUAUAAAGCCCUUUUUACAUCAGCAUUUGUCACCAAGUGCUUAUACAGAUGUUUUUCUAUUUAUUUUGCCAUCAGUCGAUACAAUGCAAUGUUGUCGUUUUUCCCUCCCAGAGGGUUUGGCAAUUAGGAUGUCCCUUUUUAGUGUGUCUGGGAAACACUUAAUUUAGCCUAUUUUGUUAGUCAUUUCGUUUAUUUUCCAAACACAGUAAUUGCCUAGUGGGGAGCCAUGGUUGCUCAGGGCCAACGCACAGGCCCGCUUUGUUUCUGUCCUCAAUGUCUGGCUAACCACACUCAUUGAUUAGAGGACGUCUGUAGAUCCGGUAGACUCAAUCACUCUUUUUCUAUAUUUCUCUCCUCUCUUGGUUUGGCUGGAUGUCUAUAUUCUCACAUUAAUCAACUAUUUGCAUUACAUCCUAUAAGCAACGCUAACCUAACCACGUUGAGGCCAAGUGAAAUCCAGUCUUUUAUAGCGAUUACAAUCAUUCAGAGCAAUCAUGCUUUGUUCCAUAUGAACAUAUUACUGAAUGACAUGCCUACCUAAGUUAUGAUAGUUGUGAAGUAAAGCCAACUUAAGUAAAGAUACUCAUAGACGUAUAGGGGGGGAAAUGAAUCAAGUAAAUUGAUAAGUUAAAUACAGUAAUUAAUGGGCAAUCACGUGACUAAAUCAACGUUCUCUUUUGAG